GCAAGUCGAGCGAUUACUUCGGUAAAGAGCGGCGGACGGGUGAGUAACGACGUGGGUAACCUGCCUCAUACACAUGGAUAACAUACCGAAGGGUAUGCUAAUACAGGAUAAUAUAAGAGAUUCACAUGGAUUUCUUAUCAAAGCUCCGGCGGUAUGAGAUGGAACCCGCGUCUGAUUAGCUAGUUGGUAAGGUAAUGGCUUACCAAGGCGACGAUCAGUAGCCGACCUGAGAGGGUGAUCGGCCACAUUGGAACUGAGACACGGUCCAAACUCCUACGGGAGGCAGCAGUGGGGAAUAUUGCACAAUGGGCGAAAGCCUGAUGCCAGCAACGCCGCGUGAGUGAUGAAGGCCUUCGGGUCGUAAAAACUCUGUCCUCAAGGAAGAUAAUGACGGUACUUGAGGAGGAAGCCCCGGCUAACUACGUGCCAGCCGCAGC
rnacentral:rRNA from 1 species